CUGCUCAUUCAGCAGCACAUAUACUAAAAAUGGAACAAUACAGAGAUUAGCAUGGUCCCUAUGCAAUGAUGACACGCAAAUUCAUGAUGCAUUCCAUAUACAA